rnacentral:rRNA from 1 species
AGAGUUUGAUCCUGGCUCAGGACGAACGCUGGCGGCGUGCCUAACACAUGCAAGUCGAGCGAUUCCUUCGGGAAGAGCGGCGGACGGGUGAGUAACGCGUGGGUAACCUGCCCUGUACACACGGAUAACAUACCGAAAGGUAUGCUAAUACGGGAUAAUAUAUGAAAGUUGCAUAGCUUUCAUAUCAAAGCUUUUGCGGUACAGGAUGGACCCGCGUCUGAUUAGCUAGUUGGUAAGGUAAAGGCUUACCAAGGCGACGAUCAGUAGCCGACCUGAGAGGGUGAUCGGCCACACUGGAACUGAGACACGGUCCAGACUCCUACGGGAGGCAGCAGUGGGGAAUAUUGCACAAUGGGCGAAAGCCUGAUGCAGCAACGCCGCGUGAGCGAUGAAGGCCUUCGGGUCGUAAAGCUCUGUCCUCAAGGAAGAUAAUGACGGUACUUGAGGAGGAAGCCCCGGCUAACUACGUGCCAGCCGCCGCGGUAAUC